rnacentral:rRNA from 1 species
AGAGUUUGAUCAUGGCUCAGGAUGAACGCUGGCGGCGUGCCUAACACAUGCAAGUCGAGCGAUCUUCUUCGGAAGAGAGCGGCGGACGGGUGAGUAACGCGUGGGUAACCUGCCUCAUACACAUGGAUAACAUACCGAAAGGUAUGCUAAUACAAGAUGAUAUAGGAGAUUCGCAUGGAUUUCUUAUCAAAGCUCCGGCGGUAUGAGAUGGACCCGCGUCUGAUUAGCUAGUUGGUAAGGUAACGGCUUACCAAGGCGACGAUCAGUAGCCGACCUGUGAGGGUGAUCGGCCACAUUGGAACUGAGACACGGUCCAAACUCCUACGGGAGGCAGCAGUGGGGAAUAUUGCACAAUGGCGAAAGCCUGAUGCAGCAACGCCGCGUGAGCGAUGAAGGCCUUCGGGUCGUAAAGCUCUGUCCUCAAGGAAGAUAAUGACGGUACUUGAGGAGGAAGCCCCGGCUAACUACGUGCCGGCAGCCGCGGUAAUACGUAGGGGGCUAGCGUUAUCCGGAUUUACUGGGCGUAAAGGGUGCGUAGGUGGUUUCUUAAGUCAGGAGUGAAAGGCUACGGCUCAACCGUAGUAAGCUCUUGAAACUGGGAAACUUGAGUGCAGGAGAGGAAAGUGGAAUUCCUAGUGUAGCGGUGAAAUGCGUAGAUAUUAGGAGGAACACCAGUAGCGAAGGCGGCUUUCUGGACUGUAACUGACACUGAGGCACGAAAGCGUGGGGAGCAAACAGGAUUAGAUACCCUGGUAGUCCACGCCGUAAACGAUGAGUACUAGGUGUCGGGGGUUACCCCCCUCGGUGCCGCAGCUAACGCAUUAAGUACUCCGCCUGGGGAGUACGCUCGCAAGAGUGAAACUCAAAGGAAUUGACGG